GCUACGAGCGCACAGCUGCUCUUUUCUGCUCCGCGCUGCACGCGCUCAUGAAGGCACUGGCGAGGUGGUUUCCUUCCACUUGUAGCAGGACCAGUACUUCUGCCAGCUCCAAUCAAAGCUCCGGUGACCAGGAGACCUCAGCAUUCGCCAAUUCCUGCUGAAUUACCGCAAACAGAAAGAACUGGCA